GUGGGGAAUAUUGCACAAUGGGGGAAACCCUGAUGCAGCGACGCCGCGUGAAGGAUGAAGUAUUUCGGUAUGUAAACUUCUAUCAGCAGGGAAGAAAAUGACGGUACCUGACUAAGAAGCCCCGGCUAACUACGUGCCAGCAGCCGCGGUAAUACGUAGGGGGCAAGCGUUAUCCGGAUUUACUGGGUGUAAAGGGAGCGUAGACGGCAGUGCAAGUCUGAAGUGAAAGCCCGGGGCUCAACCCCGGGACUGCUUUGGAAACUGUGCAGCUAGAGUGUCGGAGAGGCAAGCGGAAUUCCUAGUGUAGCGGUGAAAUGCGUAGAUAUUAGGAGGAACACCAGUGGCGAAGGCGGCUUGCUGGACGAUGACUGACGUUGAGGCUCGAAAGCGUGGGGAGCAAACAGGAUUAGAUACCCUUGUAGUCC
rnacentral:rRNA from 1 species